rnacentral:rRNA from 1 species
AUUGAACGCUGGCGGCAGGCCUAACACAUGCAAGUCGAGCGGUAGCACAGAGAGCUUGCUCUCGGGUGACGAGCGGCGGACGGGUGAGUAAUGUCUGGGAAACUGCCUGAUGGAGGGGGAUAACUACUGGAAACGGUAGCUAAUACCGCAUAACGUCGCAAGAUCAAAGUGGGGGACCUUCGGGCCUCAUGCCAUCAGAUGUGCCCAGAUGGGACUAGCUAGUAGGUGGGGUAACGGCUCACCUAGGCGACGAUCCCUAGCUGGUCUGAGAGGAUGACCAGCCACACUGGAACUGAGACACGGUCCAGACUCCUACGGGAGGCAGCAGUGGGGAAUAUUGCACAAUGGGCGCAAGCCUGAUGCAGCCAUGCCGCGUGUGUGAAGAAGGCCUUCGGGUUGUAAAGCACUUUCAGCGGGGAGGAAGGCGGUGAGGUUAAUAACCUCACCGAUAGACGUUACCCGCAGAAGAAGCACCGGCUAACUCCGUGCCAGCAGCCGCGGUAA